rnacentral:misc_RNA from 1 species
GAACUGCGAUAAGUAAUGUGAAUUGCAGAAUUCAGUGAAUCAUCGAGUCUUUGAACGCACAUUGCGCCCCCUUGCAUUCCGGGGGGCAUGCCUGUCCGAGCGUCAUUGCUGCCCUUCAAGCCCGGCUUGUGUGUUGGGUCGUCGUCCCCUCCGGGGGACGGGCCCGAAAGGCAGCGGCGGCACCGCGUCCGGUCCUCGAGCGUAUGGGGCUUUGUCACCCGCUCGAUAAGUACCGGCCGGGCGCCAGCCGGCGUCUCCAACCUUUUUUUCUCAGGUUGACCUCGGAUCAGGUAGGGAUACCCGCUGAACUUAAGC